rnacentral:rRNA from 1 species
UACAUAGGGUGCAAGCGUUGUCCGGAAUUAUUGGGCGUAAAGAGCUCGUAGGUCGUUUGCCGCGUCGAUUGUGAAAAUCUGAGGCUCAACCUCAGACCUGCAGUCGAUACGGGCAAACUAGAGUGUGGUAGGGGAGACUGGAAUUCCUGGUGUAGCGGUGGAAUGCGCAGAUAUCAGGAGGAACACCAAUGGCGAAGGCAGGUCUCUGGGCCAUAACUGACACUGAGGGGCGAAAGCGCGGGGAGCGAACAGGAUUAGAUACCCUGGUAGUCCGCGCCGUAAACGAUGGGCACUAGCUGCGAGAGCCUUCCACGGUUCUCGCGACGCAGCAAACGCAUUAAGUGCCCCGCCUGGGGAGUACGAUCGCAAGAUUAAAACUCAAAGGAAUUGACGGGGCCCCGCACAAGCAGCGGAGCAUGCGGCUUAAUUCGACGCAACGCGAAGAACCUUACCAAGGCUUGACAUAUAGCGAAAAGUGGCAGAGAUGUCAUGUCCGCAAGGGCGCUAUACAGGUGGUGCAUGGUUGUCGUCAGCUCGUGUCGUGAGAUGUUGGGUUAAGUCCCGCAACGAGCGCAACCCUCGUUCUGUGUUACCAGCAUUCAGUUGGGGACUCACAGGAGACUGCCGGGGUCAACUCGGAGGAAGGUGGGGAUGACGUCAAAUCAUCAUGCCCCUUAUGUCUUGGGCUGCACGCAUGCUACAAUGGCCGGUACAAAGUGCUGCGAAAUCGUAAGAUUUAGCGAAUCACAUAAAGCCGGUCUCAGUUCGGAUUGAGGUCUGCAACUCGACCUCAUGAAGUCGGAGUUGCUAGUAAUCGUAGAUCAGCAACGCUACGGUGGAUACGUUCCCGGGGCU